AUUGAACGCUGGCGGCAGGCCUAACACAUGCAAGUCGAGCGGAUGAAGGGAGCUUGCUCCUGGAUUCAGCGGCGGACGGGUGAGUAAUGCCUAGGAAUCUGCCUGGUAGUGGGGGAUAACGUCCGGAAACGGGCGCUAAUACCGCAUACGUCCUGAGGGAGAAAGUGGGGGAUCUUCGGACCUCACGCUAUCAGAUGAGCCUAGGUCGGAUUAGCUAGUUGGUGGGGUAAAGGCCUACCAAGGCGACGAUCCGUAACUGGUCUGAGAGGAUGAUCAGUCACACUGGAACUGAGACAGGGUCCAGACUCCUACGGGAGGCAGCAGUGGGGAAUAUUGGACAAGGGGCGAAAGCCUGAUCCAGCCAUGCCGCGGGUGGGAAGAAGGUCUUCGGAUUGGAAAGCACUUUAGGUUGGGAGGAAGGGCAGUAAGUUAAUACCUUGCUGUUUUGACGGUACCAAGAGAAUAAGCACCGGCUAACUUCGUG
rnacentral:rRNA from 1 species